rnacentral:rRNA from 1 species
GACGAACCGAGCGAACGUUGUUCGGAAUCACUGGGCUUAAAGGGCGCGUAGGCGGGCUGUCAAGUUUGGGGUGAAAUCCCGCGGCUCAACCGCGGAACUGCCUCAAAUACUGACGGUCUCGAGGGGGGUAGGGGCGAGCGGAACUGAUGGUGGAGCGGUGAAAUGCGUUGAUAUCAUCAGGAACUCCGGUGGCGAAGGCGGCUCGCUGGACCUCUUCUGACGCUGAGGCGCGAAAGCUAGGGGAGCAAACGGG